GACGAACGCUGGCGGCGUGCUUAACACAUGCAAGUCGAACGGAAAGGCCCUGCUUUUGUGGGGUGCUCGAGUGGCGAACGGGUGAGUAACACGUGAGUAACCUGCCCUUGACUUUGGGAUAACUUCAGGAAACUGGGGCUAAUACCGGAUAGGAGCUCCUGCUGCAUGGUGGGGGUUGGAAAGUUUCGGCGGUUGGGGAUGGACUCGCGGCUUAUCAGCUUGUUGGUGGGGUAGUGGCUCACCAAGGCUUUGACGGGUAGCCGGCCUGAGAGGGUGACCGGCCACAUUAGGCCUGAGAUACGGCCCAGACUCCUACGGGAGGCAGCAGUGGGGAAUAUUGCACAAUGGGCGGAAGCCUGAUGCAGCAACGCCGCGUGCGGGAUGACGGCCUUCGGGUUGUAAACCGCUUUCGCCUGUGACGAAGCGUGAGUGACGGUAAUGGGUAAAGAAGCACCGGCUAACUACGUG
rnacentral:rRNA from 1 species